rnacentral:rRNA from 1 species
GUGGGGAAUCUUCCGCAAUGGACGAAACCCUGACCCAGCAACGCCGCGUGAAGGAAGAAGGCUUUCGGGUUGUAAACUUCUUUUACCAGGGAAAAACACAAUGAUGGUACCUGGAGAAAAAGCUACGGCUAACUACGUGCCAGCAGCCGCGGUAAUACGUAGGUGGCAAGCGUUGUCCGGAAUUACUGGGUGUAAAGGGCGUGUAGGCGGAACUACAAGUCAGGGGUGAAAACUAUGGGCUUAACCCAUAGCCUGCCUUUGAAACUGUAGUCCUUGAGUGCUGGAGAGGCAAUUGGAAUUCCUAGUGUAGCGGUGAAAUGCGUAGAUAUUAGGAGGAACACCAGUGGCGAAGGCGAAUUGCUGGACAGUAACUGACGCUGAGGCGCGAAAGCGUGGGGAGCAAACAGGAUUAGAUACCCUUGUAGUCC